GUGAGGGGAUUUUGCAGAUAUAAUUAAGGUCCCAAAUCAGUUGACCCUGGGAUAGGGAGAUAAUCCACGUGGGUCAGAUUUAAUCAAAGGAGCUCUUUAAAAGCCGAACUUUUUCGCUGGCUGGUCACAGAAGAUGAAGUCAGAGAUACAAAGCAUGAGAAAUAUUUGACUUGCUGUUUCUAAAUUGAAGAUAAAGAAGGCUGCAUGGCAAGGAACGUGGGCAGCCUGUGGGAGCUAAGAAUGGUCCUGGUUGAUAGCAAGUAAGGAAACAGGACUUCAGGCCUACAACAGCAAAGAAGAUCAAUUCUUCCUACUCAAGAAUGAAUUUUUUCUCAGAUCCCCGACACGAGAGCUCAGCAUGGCUUACACCGUGAUUUCAGCCAGCCUUGUGAUAUUCUGAGUAGAGAACUUGGCCAUUCUGUGCUGGACUUCUGACCUACAGAACUCAAAUUGCUUUGUGACCUUGAACAAGUUUUUAAGUCUCGCUUCUUCUAAAAUAGUAACAAAACUGGCAUAUCUGAAGACUCUCCUGAGGUGUUCUUGGAAUUGAGUUUCUUAAACAGCGUUGAGAGACUCAGAGAGUCAGUGCAGAGGGAUGGGACAGAGAGCCAAAUCAUCUCAGAGUCCAUCAGGAUCAGCUAUUCCUUCAUGUCUUACUUCCACGUUACCAUCAUUUCAUCUGAACUACUGAAAUAGUCACUACAAAGGCUUCCUGGACCUAAUUCCAAUGUAUGUGUGUGUGGAGGCUUCCCCACACCAACAAGCAGUUCUUGGACACCAACAGAGUGUCAGAAAACUCAAUUCUGAUACUAUCUACCUGAGGUAGAAUCAGAUUCCACAGCUUGGUGGUAGACAGCUGAAGCCUUACUGGCCUGAGGCAUCAGAGGACAGAAUCUGAAGCUGGAAGAGCAGCUAAAAUUUAAGAGAAGAACUCCCAAAAGCAACAUGAUCCUGGAGAGGGUAUUCUGGGAUGACAUGAAAUUUAUCCAUCAUAGAAAGGGGAACUUUGUAGUUGUGUGAAUGUUGUUUCAUCACCUAUCAGCCAGAAAGAAAAGAAAUCUUAAAGGAUAAACAUAGAAGUAUAUUAAACUUUCCUUGGUAUCAACUGAACUUUUCCCAUCAGAAGAAGUUCUCUGAGCAGGUGGAGAAAAGACACUGAACAAACUGGAAGCUGUUAAAAAGAGCACUGCUGAAAAACACGUCACAAAUGACUAACAAAUUGUAAAUGAAAAUUGGGUGACUUUCAGGUGGGAGCUGCUAACAGGCUCCGAGGCAGCAUUUGACCUCUUUUAAUGGAAGUUUUAAGAGAGGACUGGAGGUGAUGAAGGGUCAUUCAAAUGAUGUCGGUGGCUCCUGAGUGGUACUCCUGGUGGGCUGCGCCAAUUGUGCUGAAGGAUGGAUGGAGAAGGCACAUCAAUCAGCAGGGCAGAAGCCAACUCCCGAGCCAGUCUCUUUCUGUAGCAGUUCAGAAACUGCACAAAGUACAGCAAGUCAGAUCAUUUAUGUAACUUCUGUUUUUAUUAGGAUGUAAUUACAAGAUCUUACAUUUGCUUAGUGCAUUAUGUUUUAAAGCCCAUUUGCCACAUUAAUCCAUUAAGAAUAUCAAAAUAAAAUAUGUUUUCAUCUUAAAAUGUGUUUCUAUGCUUGAUGUGAUAAAAAAUUCCCUUACAAGUCACCUGGGAUCAGAGCAAUAAUAGAAACCGAUCUUUUACAAAUAUAGUUUGCUCUUAUGUAUAGGCAAAGUUGGAGAGAAUUAAAGCCAUUAAGAUUGUGUAUGAAAGAUACAUUAGAGUUACAUUUAUAUCAUUGAUUACACUGCUCCUCAAUUAUAUAGUUUGGAAAAAAACAUAAGCAAUUAAUCAUGGUAGAUUACACUCAUUUUGUAUUUGGCCAGCAGUAGCGAGUAGUUAUUAAGAAGUCUGAGUUCCAAUUGUUUCUCUAAAUAAUACUUUGUAAUAUCUUUUGCUUAUGUGAUUUCUGUAAUACCCUUUGGUAAAUGUGAUUAUUUAUACCUAGAAAAGAUUUUAAAAUAGCUCUCAUUUCCUUUAUAUAAUUAUGGUUUUAAAUAGAUUUUUUAAUAUAUUUAUUUUCUUAAUAUGAUGCCAUUACCAGCCCUGCCAUUUGUCUUAUUAAUCUGGAUAUGCAUAAUUAUAAACCACACCAAUUAUAACCGCUAUACAUGCAUUGUCAACUGGUAAACAUUUAGUAGUAAAAACAGGAUUAAAAUAUUUAGAUAACAUUUACAUCCCUAGUUUAUGUGAAACAAUAACAAAUAAGAGCUGGAAAUUAUUAAAAUUUUUAUUUUACAGGAAAGUACUAGUUAUAUAUAGAUAAUACAAUUCAGUAUUGAUAAACAGAAAAUCUUCUAUCAGCAGCUUAAUUCCUCAGAUGGAAUUUUCUUUAGCAAUGGGAAAUAUUAAAAAUAACUUAUUUGAGAUAUUGAUGACAUGUAACUUUUAUAU
rnacentral:lncRNA from 1 species